GAGUUUGAUCCUGGCUCAGAUUGAACGCUGGCGGCAGGCCUAACACAUGCAAGUCGAGCGGAUGAAGGGAGCUUGCUCCUGGAUUCAGCGGCGGACGGGUGAGUAAUGCCUAGGAAUCUGCCUGGGUAGUGGGGAUAACGUCCGGAAACGGGCGCUAACACCGCAUACGUCCUGAGGGAGAAAGUGGGGGAUCUUCGGACCUCACGCUAUCAGAUGAGCCUAGGUCGGAUUAGCUAGUUGGUGGGGUAAAGGCCUACCAAGGCGACGAUCCGUAACUAGGUCUGAGAGGAGUGAUCAGUCACACUGGAAC
rnacentral:rRNA from 1 species